rnacentral:rRNA from 1 species
UACGGAGGGUGCAAGCGUUAUCCGGAUUCACUGGGUUUAAAGGGUGCGUAGGCGGGCAGGUAAGUCCGUGGUGAAAUCUCUGAGCUUAACUCAGAAACUGCCAUGGAUACUAUUUGUCUUGAAUAUUGUGGAGGUAAGCGGAAUAUGUCAUGUAGCGGUGAAAUGCUUAGAUAUGACAUAGAACACCAAUUGCGAAGGCAGCUUACUACACAGUUAUUGACGCUGAGGCACGAAAGCGUGGGGAUCAAAUAGG